CAAAUUGAUUAAGAUUAAUAUUUAUUUACAUUAAAUGAUAUAUUGUGCAAUUCAAUACAGUUUGA
rnacentral:tRNA from 1 species